rnacentral:rRNA from 1 species
UACGUAGGUGGCGAGCGUUGUCCGGAAUUACUGGGUGUAAAGGGCGUGUAGGCGGGGCGGCAAGUCAGAUGUGAAAUUCCGGGGCUUAACCCCGGCGCUGCAUCUGAAACUGUCGUUCUUGAGUGUCGGAGAGGAAAGUGGAAUUCCCAGUGUAGCGGUGAAAUGCGUAGAGAUUGGGAGGAACACCAGUGGCGAAGGCGGCUUUCUGGACGAUAACUGACGCUGAGGCGCGAAAGCGUGGGGGGCAAACAGG